rnacentral:rRNA from 1 species
AGAAUCCUUCGGGAGGAAGACCAUUGUGACUGAGUGGCGGACGGGUGAGUAACGCGUGGGUAACCUGCCUUGUACAGGGGGAUAACAGUUGGAAACGACUGCUAAUACCGCAUAAGCGCACAGUACCGCAUGGUACUGAGGGAAAAGGAUUUAUUCGCUUUAGGAUGGACUCGCGUCCAAUUAGCUAGUUGGUGAGGUAACGGCCCACCAAGGCGACGAUCAGUAGCCGACCUGAGAGGGUGAUCGGCCACAUUGGGACUGAGACACGGCCCAGACUCC